AACCCAAAUAAUGAGCCCAGCCAACUCUAAACCCUACGCCUCUUCUCUCUCAUUCCAUUUUUUGGCCGAUUACAGCUCUUCUUCAACCAUGGCAGAAGCUUGCCUCGCCGAUUUUGCGUAAGUUCUUUGUCUCUCUUCAAAUCUCGUGACUCCUUUUUCUCUCUCUCUCUCGUCUGCAACAAGAUUUAGUCAAUACAAGAGGCUAAAAUACUUUUGAAGUUUCUGACCUUUGUCCAGAGAUAGUUGCUGGUGUAAAGAUUUUCUCUUUGAUUUCAAACGGCUAAUCUGUUCUUCAUAUACCGCCCGAGAAUCACUUCUCAAGGGGCCCUAACCUUUCUCUAUAAAUACUCUCUUUGGAUCUCAGCCGAAACCAGAGGUUGAAAAGGGACAAGAAACACCACUUUACAUUGUCAAAAUACUAAGUCUAGGAAGGAAUCCACCUCUGCUCGAACACUAUCAUUUGUACUCUCACCGUUAACUUUCUUCCUGUCUCGGUGAACUUUGGCCGUGACAGAUAUUCGAAUUCGUUCGGCUUGAAGUUCGGAUCUUUCGUUACAGGAGAGUAUAUUCGAGGCCAACGCCGACCUAGUUCACUGCCCCACAAACGGUCGGUUACUCCCAAACUCAAGCUUUCUUUCCUUACUGUUGGUAUGUGAUGCGCAAUGGUUCACUCUGUUAAAAUAGAAGUUAAAAUUUUGGUGUGUAGAAAUUAUGCCAUUAGGAAUUAACUUUCUGGUUGUAUAUUAAAAUAUUUGAUCGAUGAAUGUUUGACAAAAUGCUUAUAUGAAUACAUAAGUUUCAUCUCCGUGAUGUCAAUUCGUGAAUUUAGAUAUCACGUUUAGGAUCAUUAUGAUUGUUGGCACGCUGUUGGUGCACUGUUUGAUUGAAGACAUGCAUGAAGAUGUCCCAUACUCUUGAACUGUCAACUUGGAGUUAGUUUAGAAUUCUCUUUAAGUUCGCGCCGCAUAUCAUUUAGCAAGUUUAAUGAUGUGUUCUUUCUUGGUCUCUCUCUGUGGCAUAACGUGAAUAUUUCAUAUUCUCGACUUGAAACUAUAUUUAAAGAUAAUGAUACUAGUAUUUGAGGAGUUAACCGCUACGUGCUUGAGUUAACUUGUUGAGGUGUUGUUGUGCUUUCAAAUAGUAGAAAAGAUGAUUUUAGGAAUGACUAGAUGCCACGUUCUUCUAGGAUUCAAUAACUAAAGAGGUAAUUAAUCUUAUACGUUCAUAUUACUUUAAAAGAACUUUAAGUAUACCAUGUAGAGCUCAACUUGUGUGGGAUAACAAACAUGAAAAUGCACUUUAGAAAAAGAAGUAUAAUAGUUGUCGUUAAGAUAACAUUCUGUUACAUUGAUAUUGUAGUAAAGUUGUUUGUCUCAAAUUCAGUAUUUCACUUAAGAAUCUGUCAUUUUAUUUCAAGUAUAAAAUCUGAUACAUAUUUAAGCCCUUCUCUAUUAUGGGUGGUGCAUUGUAUGGAAGGUUCUUUAGUUUAUAAAUGGUUCAAAAUUGAAUGUGACAUUUCUUUCUUUAUUCUACUUACUGUCUAUAUUUACAAUGUCAAGAAUGAAAUUCUCCCCUCUAACUCUUUUAUUAUGAAAUUCUCCCCUCUAACUCUUUUAUUCUUUCUUUGUUUUACAUGAACAUUGGAGCCGAAGAGUUUUACUUUGAGACUCAACGACGCCGCUACCUCGCCAAGAUUGCACAUCCUCAUCCUUUACAACUUUUACAUCGUCUAGGCAGCAAAAAUACAGAGGGAGCCGACAUGGCUUUUAAUCCUUUCAUUCUACUUCAUUUAUGUUUUACCUGCUAUUGCUGUUCAUAUUUUGUUUUUCAGUUGUGCUUAGCCUGGACAUGUUAUGCAGUAACUAACUGUCAUUUGGCCAUUUAUGAAGUUGUUGCCUCUAGUUGAUAAUAAAUACACUGACUUUACACAGUACACACAGUAGAAUGUUUUAUCUAUGUUAGGAGUUUAAAAGCAGUUAGUUCUCACCACAACGUCCACUUCUUUGCUUUACUUCAUGCCUUGAUUUUCUUAAUACUUCUAAUUUAAGUGGAUUUUCCUAUCAGGUUUCCAAAUGAAUUCAAAUGAUGUGUCAGGUCACGUUUUUAGUCUUGAUCCAAGUAAAUCGAAAUACAUUUUCAAAGAAACGAACAAGUCCAAAUCAAUGUUCUUUAACGUACAAACACAAAUAUUCAACAUGACUUUUAAUGUGAAUCUGAGUCUCUUUUUUUUUUAAACAAAAGGAUUUUUACUUACGCUUAGCCUUAAUUAACUUUAGUCUGGUUGGUUAACCAUUUAAAAUGGAUCUUAAAGGGUGCCUUAAAAACCUUCCCUUUAGAUUAAUUGAAUCCUUUACCUAGAAUCUUUAGGUUAAGUAGAUCAUUAAUAGAGUUAUACUUUAUUAAUACGUUACUUAACUUUAGGUGUCCUAAUUCACCAUAAUUAAUUAGGUGACGACUCUUUAACUUUAAUCAAAUUACGAAAUUGCCUAUAUAUUGUACCUUACUUUCACCAGUUUAAAAUGUGGUAUAACACCUUUUAUUUGAUGCAUCAUGCUUGUGCAGGCCUUGGGGAUGGAGUGUCGAUGAGGCCAGCCCCUGCUGGUGAAAGGACACCUUAAAACCCGACAAGGGUAAGAAGAGGAAGAAGGACGCCACGGUCUCAUCUUUGACUGCUAUAGCAAGUCCUCUUACCGAGGACGAAGGUGAUGAUGAUGAUGAUGCAUGCCCUUUGGUACAAAGGGCGAGACGAGGCGAAGAUGCUUCGCAAGAUACAGAGCGGGAGGCCGCCGAAUCGGGGGCGACCGAUUUGGACCAGACUCGCUGAGGAGACCCUCGAUGAGGGCUUGGGGGGCUCGGGGACAGUCCCCGUGUCUCAAGUCGGACAUGACACAGUCCGCAUUGAUGAACCCGCUGUUGGUGACUCCGAAGGGCCUGAACCCGAAGCUUCUCGCGGAAAAGAUGAGGCCCUUAAAGAAAUUAACACUCUGAGUGGCCUUAAUUUGGGCCCUGCAUUUCACCGGGGGAGAUUAGGGAUGCUCAGGAUCAGGAUACCGCUGGCGCGGGGGCCUUUCACGGAGGGGGAGAUAUGCUCGAAGACCUCCUCAUCGGUAUUGACGAUAGUAUUGAUCUCGAUGCUCCCGGUGCCCUCGAGGAGGCGGAGAGGCUUCAGCAGCAAGCUAAGAAGAUGUACGACCAUGCCUUUUCUAGGCUCCAAAGUGAGCUUUCAUGCUGUUGGAAGGAGGUCAAAAAGCUUACCUCGGAGUUAAAAGAGUCGAGGACCUCCUCUCCCCGAAAGAAGGAAGAGUUGAGCAGGCUUCAGGCCAGUUUAGAGGGAGUGUGCUAGGAAAAGGCUGGCCUUGCUGAGCAGAUAGGGCAAAAGGAUUCCAUCGUGGGGCGACUUCAGGAAGAGGCCGCAACCAAGGAUGCGGAGAUCCUCGAGUUAAGAGGGCAAAAUGAGGCCGUGGCCUCAGAGAGGGAUAUUUUGUGGUCGGAGUUGGCAUCGACCUGGGAUCUUCUUCAAAGCGCCCAAAAGGAGGCUGCUGCACUAUCUGUGGCCAUGUCUGAGGCUGAAGAGGAUGCGUCUUCAUACAUGAAAGAUGUUGCUACUGCGAAUGAACAAGCCCGAGAAAUAUUGGGGAAAGCCAAGCAGAAGCUGGAUAUGGCCGUCGCUUACGCUCGUGCAGAGGCAAGGAGGCAAGUUAUCGGGGAAGCAAGCACUAAAGGCGCCGAUCUCUCAGCCGAGAUUGAGGAACCCCGAGGUUUGGAGAAAGAAUUGGCAUUCUCGAAUACUUUGGAUGGGGGUUCCGGAGAUGACCCGGAGAGCAGUGGCGGCGAAGAAUAGGCCCACGUCAUCUUUCAUUCUUUUUUAUGUAUGAACUUCUCGGGGGAAAAUGUCUUGCAAAGACGCCCCUUAUAAAUAUAUUUUUGGCCAUGUAAGAAAAUUUUUCUGCUUCAAGUCUUCGAAUUUAUUCUCAAUGGUUAUGUAA